GGAUGGUUCUGGGACGUUGCAGUGUUGAUCCAACGGCUUGAGAGAUUUUCUGGACUUGAUUUAAGUCUGAUUAGGAGUUCUAAUCGUGAUCUAACUUGAUUUAAGGCUUUUAAAAAAGCCUCAUGCUCAACAAAGAAAGCUGUGUGUGUGGCGUGUUUUUCCGUGCGGUGCGAAGAUCAGAGAUCCGAGAAGAGAGAGAGCCGCGUGACG
rnacentral:lncRNA from 1 species